rnacentral:lncRNA from 1 species
UGCCAGGGGAGUUCAGCGAGGCUUCCAUUUGAUCUGGGUACUGAAAGACGAGCAGGCAUUCCUGUAGUGGAGGAAGAAUGGAAGGGCAUUCCAGGUAAAGAACAAGAUGUGCUGAAAUACGUAAAGGUGAGUGAACUCAGUGUGAGGUGAGGGAAUUCAGUGUGGCAGUAGGGAGAGACAGGGAGGGGACAGCACUGUGAAGAUUUGACAGGCUAGCUACCUGGACCCCUUUCAACAUCAAUGCCCAUUUGGCUAAGAAUGGCCAAUAAAGCAGGGUCCCCUUUAUAGUUACCUCCUGAAGUGAUCACAUGUGAUAGAGCUGGAGUGGGUAUGGAGUUCUGAAGACUUUCAAAUGCAAAUAAUUCUGGGGUACAAACAAGACAUUAAGAACAAUAGCUGAAUUCACCGAUUAGCUUAAUUUUAGAGCCACGAGGCCCAGGCUGAGGACGGCACACAGAAGGGGAGGUCGGCCUGGCGUGGUGGCUCAUGCCUAUAAUCCCAGCACUUUGGGAGGCCAAAGCAGGGGGAUUGCUUGAGCUCCAGGAGUUUGAGACCAGCCUGGGAAACAAAGCGAGACCCCUUCUCAAAAAACAAAAGAAAAAGGGAAGGGGCAGUAAACAAGUUCUGAUGUUGAAUUGCCAUAUACUCUAAAGCCUAGGUGUGUGGCCCUUAAAGACCCAUGAACAAAACAUUGUGUGUAUGUCUGUGUGUGUUUUCUGGGGAGGAUGCCCACAGGCUUCACCAGACUCUCAAAGGGAUCAACGAUCCCCCAAAACAUGAACAAUCACUGCUUUCAAGCCAGCUGGGAGUCAGACCUCCGAGCAACCUCUACCACCUGGAGAAACCCCAAGACAUAGUAAGCAAAAAAAAAAAAAAAAGAAAAUCACUGCAAGCAAAGUGAGAAAGUAAACUCUCCCUUCCUCGCUCCCUUGACUUUUAGAAACUACGACAAACACUUUAACCUCAGCCUGUUCAAUGCCUUUAAGAUCAGAGAUAGUCAUGUUUGCCUAACUUUAUUCAGGUCCUAUUACGCAAGCCUGCUACCUAUUCAGGACCCCAAAUGUUCAUGAUCUGCCGAUAAGGUAUUCAUUCACCCUUCAAUUUGUAAUCUAAUUCUCCUAAGAAAAGCCUCCCGUCUAAACAGUGAAAACAGUAGGAAAAUGCAGGAAGCUGGAUCCACAGGGCAGAUUAAAAGGAUGACUGGUCCCUGAGGAAAAAAAUAAUCACCACGGAAUCUGAAGACAAGAAACCUUAUUUACAGAUGGGCAAUUUGGCCCCUGGUGGGACAUGAACAUUGAGCCAGCAUCUCCAGCAUCUGUCAAAAUCCUCACAUCUUUCAGCACCGGCACUGCCAGAUUUCACUGCUGAACUCCGUGCUGCGUCUUUAAAGCAGUGCAGUCAAGGGACUGUAAGUAACUUUUCAGGAAAGAGACAGAGAAGCCUGCAGGCACUCUUUGGGCACGGUGGGAAGCAGCAUAGAGUGGUGGUUAAGAACAACACCAUCGAUAAGAGUCAGCAGCCGCCUGGUCUCAAAGGCCAGCCUUGAUCACAUUACAGCUGUGUGACCUCAGGCAAGUUAAUUUCCCUCUCUGCUGUUUUUUUACCCAUGAAAUGGGGCUCAGAACUGUACCUCCUCCUAGGAUUGUUAGGAGAACUUAGGAAGUUAAUGUCUGUAAAAAUGUUUAGAACAAUAUCUGGGACGUAGGAAGUGCCUGACAAAUUGUACACUAACUCUUACCAAAACCCUUUAAGAAAAAAAGCCACCGGGCCGGGCUCGGUGGCUCAUGCCCAUAAUCCUAGCACUCUGGGAGGCCGAGGUGGGCAGAUUGCCUGAGGUCGGGAGUUCGAGACCAGCCUGGCCAACAUGGAGAAACCCCGUCUCUACUAAAAAUACAAAAUUUAGCGGGGCGUGGUGGCACAUGCCUUAAUCCCAGCUACUCAGGAGGCUGAGGCAGGAGAAUCGCUUGAACCAGGGAGGCGGAGGUUGUUGUGAGUCAAGAUCAGGCCAUUGCACUCCAGCCUGGGCAACAAGAGCGAAACUCCAUUUCAAAAAAAAGAAAUUAAAAUUACGCUACAUAUCAAAUAUACACAUAUAAAAUACAUACUUAAAUUAUGGAUGCAGAGAGGACUCAUGCUAUAUAUACGUUUCAAUAUAUUAAGGAACCUAGCCUUAGCUUUUGAAGGAAGAUAGGAAUUUCCAUAAAAGUAGUAAUAAUGGAAUAAAUGCCUAUAAUCUCAGCACUUUGAGUGAGAGGCCAAGGCGGGAGGAUCACUUUAGUCUAGGAGUUUGAGACCAGCCUGGGCAACAUAGUGAGACUUUGUCGCUACAAAAACUACAGAAAAUUAGUUGGGCGUGGUGAUGCAUGCCUGUAGACCCAGCUACUUGGGAGGCUGAGGUGGGAGGACUGCUUGAGUCUGGGAGGCUGAGGCUGCAGUGAGCUGAAAUUGUACCACUGCACUCCAGCCUGGGUGGAUGACAGAGUGAAACCCUGUCUCUAAAUAAAUAAAUAAAUACAUGGAAUAAAAAGUUAAUAUUUAAUAAUGGGCUAAUGCUAAUUUGUGUGUGUGUGCGCGCGUGUACCCAAGAAAAUAAAAUCCAAGAGUGUCAAAAAACUUGGAAAUACAACAGCCAUGCUUCAAAGGACUAGAGCACAAAAAAGAAAUUGUCACUGAUCACUGAGCACCGCUUUUACCGUGCUUUAAAGGUUACUAUGUCUAAUAAUAAGGGCCUUCUUUCUAGAUCAAAUUCUGUACCAGACACUGUGUAACAUUUUACAUAUCAUAUCUCCUUUAAUCCUCACAACUCCACGAAGUAGGCAUUAUUAUCCUCAUUCUCUUCUUACAAACAGAUGAAAAGAUUAAGAUCUAGAGAGGUUAAAGAUCACCUAGCCAGCCAAACGGAGCAGAGUAUGAACCUAGUUAUGAAUCCAGUAUAACCAUGCACCCUUAGUAACUAACUUAUAAUUAAAUUUCCAAUGUCACAAAAGCUGGGCUUAUUGACCGACUGCUCUAUAACCUGCCCUCAUUUCAUGUCUCAGUGAUAUCCCCUUUCAAAUAAUUAUAACAAUGAUAGCAACUUUCCACCUGUUGAGCACCUAUUUACAUUCUAUUGAGGCAUGAUCUAUAAUUAUCGCUACCAUCCAUAUGCAACUCUAUGUUGUGGAUUUUGUUAUUCCCAAUUUAUUCAAGAAGAACUAGCUUCAAAGAAAGUAACUUGCCCAAGAUAGCACAGCUAAUAAGUGUCAGAGCCAGGUUAGGAGACCAGGAUGUCAAACCUAACACUGGCUGACCCAAAACUCAUGCACUAUGAAGACAUCAAAGCCCAUCCAAGGCCCAGCAUGGUGGCUCAUGCCUGUUCCCAGCACUUUGGAAGACGGAGGUGGGCAGAUUCCUUGAGGUCAGGAGUUAGAGACCAGCCUGGCCAACAUGGUGAACCUCUGUCUCUACAAAAAAUACAAAAAUGAGCCGGGCAUGGUGGUGCACGUCUGAGGUCCCAGCUACUUAGAAGGCUGAGGCAAGAGAAUGGCUUGAACCCGGGAGGCAGAGGUUGCAGUGAGCCAAGAUCGUGCCAUGGCACUCCAGCCUGGGUGGCAGAGUGAGACUCAGUCUCCAAAAAAACAAAACAACAACAACAAAAAAAACAAAAAACCCAUCCAGAUUUUUGUAAUACAAACCUAGUUUAAACCCCCGCACCAUCCUGCCUUUCUUCCUGAGAGAGAUCUUCUCUCUUGGCAAGGGACCCAUGUGACUACUUAUCUCUGAAAAACUAAACUAAGAUUUACUAUUUCCGGGAGGUCCUCCCCUCCCCACCCCCAACCCUCAACUUCCUCCCCACCAAUUCACCCUGCAGAUUGUUUGGUCCUGAGACACAAGCAGAAAUAAAUAACUAAAAGAGAGACGAAAGAAGAAAUGGAUGGGAAGUGGCCGUUACUCCUACAAUAGAUGGCCCCUGAGCCCCUGGAAGCCCCGCCCAUACUAGAGAACAAGCACAGGCCUAACUCAGGAUUUGCCAGGCCUUCCCCUUUGCAGCCCAGCCCUCACUGUCCCCUCCGAGGUAGCUAGGCAACCAGGCCCUGCAUACACAAAGAGGAAAGAGGUGCCAAGCCCUGCCAGACAGGUCUUCAAGCAAAAGCAGAACUGGUGACCUACAAAUAUCCACAAGGUGCCGGAACACAUGAACAAAGAGAUAGGGACAAGUAUUACAGAUGUUUGAGAGUCUGGAUCUCCAGUCGAAGAAAGAAUAAAAAGAGCCCUGGUACAACACUGGUAGACAGAGAACUGGUAGGCGAGGCUGGGAAACCAGAUAACAAAGCCCACGGCGAUUCAGAACCCAGAGUAAACAGGCUGGAAGUGAGGCUGAGCAGCUCUCCUGCCUAAGGCAUGGACUUUGCCAGGUACAUUUCAACUGCUCGGAGACCUGGAGCCAGGUCCUGGUUCUCAACCCCACUUGGGAUAGCUGCAAUGAACAUGAUGGCUACAAAAUGAACCUGUAGAAGAAAGGGACUUGCUGCGAUCAUAGAAUUCCCUGUUUCACCCAUUUCCCCAGCACAUGAAGUAGAUAAAAAGAAAUAUUUAUUGAAAAUGCAACUCUUGUGUCAGUAAAAUACAUCCAUCCAAUACCAUGAAUUAUAAACUUGGGAUAUUUUGUUUUAAAAGUGCAUUUGUUAUGUAUUUUUCCUAUGAUUUUCUUGGGUGUGGUUAUCUACACAAGAAAAAGAUGAAAACAAUGAGCCCAGAUAGAAAGUUUUCUAAAAUCCACACUCAGGUAUCUAUUUAAAUUUGUUCAGAAACGUACAUUUGGGUUUCUCUUGUACAUUAUUAAGUUCCUACAAAGGAGGUGCUACGGAACACUCUCAUGCCUAAAUGAGGCGCAGAUUUCUAUAUAAAAUAACAGCAGGCCAGGUGAGGUGGCUCAACGCCUAUAAUCUCAGCACCUUGGGAGGCUGAGGCAGGAGGACUGCUUAAGCCCAGGAGUUCGAGACGAGCCUGGGUAACAUAGCAAGACCUCUAUUACUAAGAAAAUUUAGUAUUAUUAUUAUUUAAGAAAAUUUCGGCCAGGCGCAGUAGCUCAAGUCUGUAACCCCAGCACUUUGAAAGGCUGAGGUGGGUGGAUCACCUGAGGUCAGGAGUUCAAGACCAGCCUGGCCAACUGGCGAAACCCUAUCUAAAUUAAAAAUACAAAAUUAGCCAGACAUGAUGGAGGGUGCCUGUAAUCCCAGUUACUCAGGAGGCUGAGACAGGAGAAUCACUUGAACCCAGGAGGUGGAAGCCAAGAUCGCACCACUGCACUCCAGCCUGGGUGACAGAGCAAGACUCCAUCUCAAAAUAAAAUAAAAUAAAAAUAAA